UUCUAAUUAUAUUAUCCCGCAUUUGGACAGUGUUAGAUAUUAUUUUAAUUUGACUUUGAAUGUAUAACUUGUGUAUGACCUUAACAAGAACAUUGUGUAAUCUUGGAUUAACAUGCGUUGCUUUCUGUUUCUAAGUGAAGAAAAGGAAAAGCUGACAUUUAAAGACUCAAACUGGUAUUAGGGGAUAUGUCUGGCCUGCGACAUGUGGAUGUUUUUGGCCGUACUUCUGUUUUUGCAGAAACAGGAAACCGGCACCUCAGAUGGAGCCAAAGCAGACAGAUAAGGCUGAUAUUACUUUUAAAA